GAAUUCAUGAGGAAAGUCCGUGCACUAUAGAGCGAGGAUGCUGGAUAACGUCCAGUGGGGGCGACCCUAAGGCAAGUGCAACAGAGAUAUACCGCCAUUUUAAUGGUAAGGGUGGAAAGGUAAGGUAAGAGCUUACCAGCAUAAAGGUGACUUUAUGGCUAUGUAAACCCCAUUCAGUGCAAAAUCAAAUAGGAAUAAAGACGGCUGCUCGUCGUCUCCGGUAGGUAGAUUGCUUGAACUAAUUGGUAACAAUUAGUCUAGAUAGAUGAUUAUCAAAUACAGAACACGGCUUAUAGAUUUGGUC
rnacentral:RNase_P_RNA from 1 species